rnacentral:lncRNA from 10 species
CCCCCACUCUACUAAAAAUACAAAAAUUAGCCGGGGGUGGUGGCGCAUGCCCGUAAUCCCAGCUGCUCGGGAGGCCGAGACAGGAGAAUUGCCUGAACCUGGGAGGCACAGGUUGCAGUGAGCUGAGAUUGCACCACUGCACUCCGGCCUGGGUGAUAGAGCGAGAUUCCGUCUCAAAAACAAACAAAAAAACCAAAAAAACCUCAGAACUCUCAAGCAGGACUUCUCAACCUCAGCACUGUUGACUUUUGGGUGGGACAAUUCUUUGUUGUGCGUGUGGCGGGAUGGAGGUGCUACGCCAUGUACCUUAGGAUGCUUAGCAGCACGGGGGCCUCUCCCCACCAGACGCCAGGAGUGGUCUCCCUCCUCCGGGUAGAUCACCAAAAGUUCUCCAGACAUUGCCAAAUGUCCCCUGCAGGGCAAAAUCGUCCUCGGUUGAAAUUGUCCACUGCUCUAAAGAAUGCAGGAAGUUGGGCACACUUAGCUCGGAAUGAAUAUUUACAGGGAACAUUAAAGCUGUUUGUAGGCAUCGUACGAAAAAAGUUAUUCUGAUUGUUUCAGAAGGCUGAGCAAGAACAAACGGGGCAAACCUGUAUUUUGACUAAGGAACAAGGAGACCUUUCUAGAAGAACCGCUCAGCUCCCAGUCCCCAAAGUGUGUAUGUUUAGACCGGGCGAGGAUCCUGAAUCAAGGUCCGGGCCUCUUUCCUCGGAAGAACAGACCGACCGAUGGUCUUCUGGGCACCCAGAGGAGCAGUCAAGCGCGGUGCUUGCUGAGAGCUUGGCCUCCGUUGUGAGCGAGUAUCUCCCCACUUUAACACCCUACACCACACCGCGCCCGGCCACAAGACAGCUUUACAACAUACACAACCCUGACGAGGAAACGUGUUCAAAACCAAUCACUGCGCUCAUCAUAAAGGUCGUGUACAAAUGUCUCCUCUCCUAGAAGCCGAGGUUGAAAAAUGGUCAAACCAUUAAUUACUCAACAGUUUGUUUGGGCAGUAGUGUCUGCAGCAGUGGGGUUUUUAUACAGCACAAAAAUAACAAAACAAAGUUGGAAAGCGAGGGCCAUUCUGGAUGAACGUCCACCCUUGGCUCAUGGUCCAGGCCAUCGAGAUGUGUGACCAUCCUGAGAGAGCAGAUGACAGAGAUGGCGUCUCACUCUGUAACCCAGGCUGGAGUGCAAUGGUGUGAUAUUGGCUGACUGCAACCUCCGCCUCCUGGGUUCAAGGGAUUCUCCUGCCUCAGCCUCCCAAGUAGCUGGGAUUACAGGUGCCCACCACCACACCUGGCUAAUUUUUGUAUUUUUAGUAGAGACGAGGUUUCACCAUGUUGGCCAGGCUGGUCUCGAACUCCUGACCUCAGGUGAUCCACCCGCCUUGGCCUCCCAAAGUGCUGGGAUUACAGGCGUGAGCCACCGUGCCCGGCCGGCUAACGGUUUAUGAGCACUUACCAGCCACUGUCCUAUGCCCUCUCGUUGAAUGCUCACAAUGACCCAAUGGGAUGACCCUGUCACCAUCGUCCAUCCCAUCUUUCAGAAGUGGACGCUGAGUCAUGCUGAAGUUAUAUAAUGCACUCAGCUCACAUGGCUGGUAGCACUUGAGGCAGGGAUCUGGACACAGACGGCUUGACUCCGGAGCUCCUCUCAACCACAAGCCAAUGUCAACAAGCCUCCACCAUGAAGGUCCUGAAUGAUAUGAAUAAAAUAGCAUUCGCGGCAGAGUGAUCUCCUUGGAUCUCCUGAGUGGCCCAUUUGGCAGUGGGUGAGGAACUUGGGGCUCAGUGAGAUGGAGUGACUUUGACCUGCCUGAUGUUCCACAGCCAGCAGGUAGGAAAACGAGGGGUUUCACAUGUGUGCCCUGAGUCCACACAGCCAGGUACCAGGCUUGGUGCCAAGAAUAGAACCACAAGCUGGACAGACAACGUUCGUACCCUCAUGAAGCAUAUGUUUUAGGACAGACAGGCAACAAACAAGGAAAUAAGUGACUCCACUGAAUAAUUACAGACUGUGUAGGUGUCAGCAAAGGGAGACACAGAGUUCAAUGACCCAGAACGCAGAGCACUCUGGCUUAGGUGGGAGGUCAGCGGAGACCCCAGCAGGAGAGUCACGUCCUCUCUCGCUAGCCACCUGUCCCUUGCUAUCCACCUCCACCUGUUCAAGGGCUGCCCACUCAUCUGUGCUCGGGAUGCCAGCAUUAGCAAAGCAUCUCAGCUUCAUUGUGGGCAAGUAGCCUUGGUAUAGAUGAUGAGCUCAGGGGACUGAGGCCUAGAGGUAGAGAGGUUGUAGGGGUAUUUGUGGGGUCAGUCAUCUAGGGACGAAAUGGGUCCUUAAAGAGAAAACCAGGGGAUGGGCGCAGUGGCUCAUGCCUGUAAUCCCAACACUUUGGAAGGCCAAGGUAGGCAGAUUGCC